UACGGAGGGAGCUAGCGUUGUUCGGAAUUACUGGGCGUAAAGCGCGCGUAGGCGGCUUUGUAAGUCAGAGGUGAAAUCCCGGAGCUCAACUCCGGAACUGCCUUUGAGACUGCAUCGCUUGAAUCCGGGAGAGGUGAGUGGAAUUCCGAGUGUAGAGGUGAAAUUCGUAGAUAUUCGGAAGAACACCAGUGGCGAAGGCGGCUCACUGGACCGGUAUUGACGCUGAUGUGCGAAAGCGUGGGGAGCAAACAGGG
rnacentral:rRNA from 1 species